AACGAACGCUGGCGGCAGGCUUAACACAUGCAAGUCGAGUGCCCCGCAAGGGGAGCGGCAGACGGGUGAGUAACGCGUGGGAAUCUACCGUGCCCUACGGAAUAGCUCCGGGAAACUGGAAUUAAUACCGUAUACGCCCUACGGGGGAAAGAUUUAUCGGGGUAUGAUGAGCCCGCGUUGGAUUAGCUAGUUGGUGGGGUAAAGGCCUACCAAGGCGACGAUCCAUAGCUGGUCUGAGAGGAUGAUCAGCCACAUUGGGACUGAGACACGGCCCAAACUCCUACGGGAGGCAGCAGUGGGGAAUGUUGGACAAUGGGCGCAAGCCUGAUCCAGCCAUGCCGCGUGAGUGAUGAAGGUCUUAGGAUUGUAAAGCUCUUUCACCGGUGAAGAUAAUGACGGUAACCGGAGAAGAAGCCCCGGCUAACUUCGUGCCAGCCGCCGCAGUAA
rnacentral:rRNA from 1 species